rnacentral:rRNA from 1 species
GAUUCGUGCUCCCGCGUGAGGGAGGAGGUCCUUGGAUUGUAAACCUCUUUUAUCAGGGAAGAAGUUCUGACGGUACCUGAUGAAUAAGCAUCGGCUAACUCCGUGCCAGCAGCCGCGGUAAUACGGAGGAUGCAAGCGUUAUCCGGAAUUAUUGGGCGUAAAGCGUCCGUAGGUGGUUAUGCAAGUCUGCCGUUAAAGAAUGGAGCUUAACUCCAUAGGAGCGGUGGAAACUGCAAGACUAGAGUACAGUAGGGGUAGCAGGAAUUCCCAGUGUAGCGGUGAAAUGCGUAGAUAUUGGGAAGAACAUCGGUGGCGAAAGCGUGCUACUGGGCUAAACUGACACUGAGGGACGAAAGCUAGGGUAGCGAAAGGGAUUAGAUACCCCCUGUAGU